rnacentral:rRNA from 1 species
UACGUAGGGGCAAGCGUUGUCCGGAUUUAUUGGGCGUAAAGAGCGUGUAGGCGGCCAGACAGGUCCGUUGUGAAAACUCGAGGCUCAACCUCGAGACGCCGAUGGAAACCGUCUGGCUAGAGUCCGGAAGAGGAGAGUGGAAUUCCUGGUGUAGCGGUGAAAUGCGCAGAUAUCAGGAAGAACACCCGUGGCUAAGGCGGCUCUCUAGUACGGUACUGACGCUGAGACGCGAAAGCGUGGGGAGCGAACAGG